UCCACCGUGAGGUGGAGUGUGAAGGAAGGCGGCGGCAAAUCUCCGGCCUGACGAACAGAAAUCGUAUCAGGCGCAAAUUGAGGAUAAGGCUGCCAAACGAGUCGAAGUCCAAUAGCUACACGGAAUCAAUUUGUGUAAAUGCGGCAGGUAGAUGGAGAGAAAGACUGCGUU
rfam:Dethiobacter alkaliphilus AHT 1 ctg9, whole genome shotgun sequence.